CAUGACCCGGAAAACUGUCUGUGGACAAAUGCCGGCUCCCUUGGCCUGAAAGGGAGAUGAGAGCUGCAACCCCAUAGUUGCUUUUGACUGGACUUAACCGUCCAGGGGUCCUUUACCUUUUUACAUUUUACUAGUCAUGAUGGCUAAAUCCAGGGCUUUUUUUCCAGCCGGAACUCACCCACCAGAACCCAGUUCCAGCACCUCUCAGGUGGUGCUAUUGCAAAUCUAAGAGAACAAGGGAGGCUUCGUGGUGAGUUCCAGUACCUCUUUUUCAAGAAAAAUAGCACUGCCUAAAUUGUACCUCCACGGUCAGAGUCAGUAUGCUCCAGCCACAGCUGGAGAGAGUGCCCUUAUGCUCCUGUAUUGCUUGCAAGCUUCUGAUUGGCCAUUGUGAAAACAGGAAUCUGGGCCAAAUGAGUCACUUGACCCAAUCCUGCAAGGCUCUUUUUACAUUCUUAGGCAGGAACAAAAAAGCACACAUUUUACAGCAGAAAUGUCCACAGUGCAACCCAGCAUAAUAUGCCAUCUGUUCUCUUAUUGAUUUAAAAGGCAGGUUUCUAUUAUGUUUGACUUGCCGGCGCAUAACUGAUGUUUCUCAAAACAGGAUUCUCGUCAGGUCAGAAAGCCCAUCAUCUUGAGAGAGCCAUUGAAGGUUAUUAGACAAGCAAGCAGGCCCUCCAUCAUCUGAUCCAUUCAGGUCACAGCCCAAUCAGGAGGCGUCACAGGUAACAGUGUGACUCUGGGAGCCAAUGAGAACGGCUGUCUUUACUUUGGGCCACAUACCUGAAUAAGCAACUGCAAGUGACCAUCUAGGGAAGAACUUUACGCAGGGACGCAUUUUCACUGCGCUGAUAGAAAAGUGCUGCUCUGGGACACAAUGUUCUAAUGCUCAGAGGAAGCGGGAGGGAAGUGUGGGAAAGUGGUUAGAGCCUGGGAGACAGGGAUUCAAAUUCCCACUCAGCCAUGAAGGUCACCGGGUGACCUUGGGCCACUCCCUUCAUCUCAGCUUAAUCUACCCCAGAGAGUUGUUAUGGGGAGGAGGAGGUGCACGUCACUGUGGAAGCUGCCUUAUACAGAGUCAGACCACUGAUCUAUCCAGCUCUGUACCGUCUACACGGAAGACUGAUCCAUACUUUGGCUUGUCCCACCGCUUUUCCCCAGAGAAAACCCACUGAAUCGGUGCAAAUGUCAAUUAGCCCCAAUGGAUCAACAUCCGCUGCUUAUUGCCUUGGUUUGCCAGUAGCAACCAUUGCCACUGUAAUAAUAAAAACAGCAACAACAACAACAAUUUUAUUAUUUAUAUGCCGCCCGUCUGACUGGGUUUCCCCAGCCACUCUGGGCGGCUCCCAACAAAAUAUAAAAAACAUAGUAAAACAUCAACCAUUAAAAACGUCCCUGAAGCCUUCAGAUGUCUUCCAAAGUCAAAUAGUUGUUUCUCUGUUUGACAUCUGAGAGGAGAGCGUUUCACAAGGCGGGCGCCACUGCCCUCUGCCUGGUUCCCUGCAGCUUCACGUCUCAUAGUGAGGGAACCACCAGAAGGCCCUCAGAGCUGGACCUCCGUGUCUGGGCUGACAUGAAGAACUGCAUGCAGCAGCUCCGACGUUCUCAUCACUUUCCUCAGGUCAUGGAGGGAGAUGGCAAGAAAUCAACAGGAGCCCUGCCAAGGACUGCAGGGUUUGGCGAGAGGUUCGGAAUCUUCCAAGGCA
rnacentral:lncRNA from 1 species